GCCAGCGCCGGCCUCUCCCGCCUCCAACGCCCCCGCUUCCGCUUCCCGCCGCCGGGAGUCAGGGCCGGGUCCGGCAGCUAACCCGCUCCCCCAGCGCGCCGCUCGUCCGCCAUGGCCAGCUACACCAAGGCUGCCCAGCAAUGGGCUACCUUUGCCAGAGCCUGGUAUCUCAUAGAUGGAAAGAUGCAACCACCCGGAAAACUUGCAGCCGUGAGUGUAAUCAGACUUCAGGGGAAGCAUAAACCUAUGUAUCAUGCACUAAGUGACUGUGGAGACCAUGUUGUCAUAAUAAAUACGAGACACAUUGCAUUUUCUGGUAACAAAUGGGAACAGAAAGUAUAUUCUUCUCACACAGGUUAUCCAGGUGGCUUAAAACAAGUGACAGCAACACAACUUCACCUAAAAGAUCCGACAGCAAUUGUUAAACUGGCUAUUUAUAGAAUGCUUCCAAAGAACCUGCACAGAAGAACUAUGAUGCAGAGGCUGCACCUCUUUCCAGAAGAUGUUAUCCCAGAAGACAUACGUAAUAAUCUUGUAGAGGAGCUUGCUCAGCCACGCCGAAUCCCCAAGAGGUUAGAUGAAUACACACAAGAAGAAAUAGAUGCCUUCCCAAUGGUCUGGACUCCAUUAAAACUGCAGCUAUGCAGAUCAAUUUUCUUAUCCUCCUCAGACUAAGAUAUGCAUGGCACACGUGCUAGAAAAUGAGAGGCCCAUUAAUAUGAAGUAGACAAGCAGGGUAAAAAUGGAAAUAUUUUACGCAAUACUUUGAAACAGGAAUAUUGUUGAGAUACAGCAGAGUGAAUUAAGAAAGACCUAAAGAUUAUCGAAAAAUGUGAAAAAGAACUGGAAGAGGAAAGGAUGAAUUCCAGCAUCACAUUAACUUGGAAACCCACAUGCAUCUUAAUCAUCCAUUCUAUGUAGAGGACAGAUUUUUUUCAGGUACAAGGCAAAUUUGUUUGGGGAAGAUCAGUCAUCUUUAGUGUAAUGGAAACACCAAGCUAAACACUGAUAUAGUAUUUCUGACGUUACCUGUUUCAAAAUGUAUUGCAUGAAUCUGGCCUUUGAUGUUGAAUGUUAAUAAAAGGAUUUUUUUUUAUUUCUCUA